rnacentral:lncRNA from 1 species
AAAAAACAACAACAACAGCAUUGGCCUCUUAGGACUGUCGGCCCACCGGGAAAAUACCUGGUACGCCAGAUUACCAGUCCAGCCCUGGGUAGGUAUAACAACAUUAAUGUGCUGCUCUGUGGGUUAAAAAAAAGUAAUAACGUUUUAUAACCUCAAAACCUCUUCUGCACUUUUAUAGUCUUACCUACAGUUACAGUUACUUACUUACAUGUAGUUCUGGUAGUGACAGUGACUGAACUAGGCUUGUGUUAUUGUGUAUUAGUAUUGAUUUUUUUAGUCAGGUCUAUUGUCUGUUACUAUUUAUAAGGAAUGAUCUAUGAGACUGAAGCUGAUGCCAGCAGUCCUGGAUUGUAAAGACUGAUGUGGAAAGUUUUGUGUUAAAUUUAAGGGAUUCUAAAAUCUUAAAUCCUUUCUUACACAAGGCUGUUUUGCGACAAUCACAAGAAGACAUUGAGAACAUCAUGAUCAAAAUGAAGCGCUUCAUAACAAGCAGACAAGAACAACCUGAAAACACCAUGGUAAGAUUUGAUUAACUGCUGUAACUGUUCACUGCAAACAGUCCACCUUAAAUUAACUUUAAAUGCCUUGUACUUUUUCCAAAGCCUGCAAAACACUUCGAUUUGGCCAUCCAAGAGUUUCAAAUGGCGAUCCAUCAAAAGAAGAAUGGAUGCUACAACACUGAUGAGGAUGUGAUCAGGAAGACUGAACCCUUCAGCUCACCAGUGGAUCUACAUAGCAAACAGCCUCCUCUAGAGAACUUAGAUCCUCCAGAAGGAUCACAGGUAAGUUCUAUCAUCAUAUCUGUCCAUCAGUCCAUAGAUCACACGGUACCACUUUAAAAUAAGACUACCUUUAUAAAGGGUUUAUAAAUGGUUAACAAUUAGUUUAUUAAUGGUUACUAAUUAGGUUUCAAAAGAACAUCUUGACCUUGUUGUGCUAUACUGUGCUGGUUGAUAAAGUUAGACUGAUAACAGGGGUUCUUUUUCCAUCGUGCCUAUAUUUUUACUUGCUUUUCUGGUGUUUUUACUUCCACUUUACUUAAUUUUCUCAGGUAAUAAAGUUGUCAACUCUACUUUAGGCA